rnacentral:rRNA from 1 species
CCUUGUACACACCGCCCGUCACACCAUGGGAGUUGGUUUCACCCGAAGGCGCCACGCUAACCGCAAGGGGGCAGGCGACCACGGUGGGAUCAGCGACUGGGGUGAAGUCGUAAACAAGGUACCC